GAUCCCUGUGUUUAUGAUGCGGUUGGAGGCAUAGGAGACCCAGUACUCGACGCGAGGCGGUGCGACGAACGCGGUCCUUGGCGGUGCCGGCGCCGAGACGCUCCAGCGAUCUCCCGUGGGAUCUCGCAGCAGAGACUGACGGAGGACCUCGGCUUCCCCACGUCGCCCCUUGAGCCGAGACACGUGUUCCUACGUCAGGAGAGCCGCCGUGAGGAUGUGUGGCGUCGCCCUCCCUUCCCUCUUCCUGCUGGCGGUCGCCCUCUCCGCUGUCGCUUCCCUGCCACAGGCCCCGACGGAGGUGCAGUGGUCGGAGGCGGUGGUGGAGGUGAACCUGACGGCCGCCGACGCCCGCCCAGAUGCCGCCCACGACGAGAUCAGAGGAGCCGCCCGCAGCAUCCUUACCGUCACCAUGGACACCAGG